GCCUUUAUGGCGGAAUGGUAGACGCGUUAGACUUAAAAUCUAAUAUCAUUUUGAUGUGUGGGUUCAAGUCCCAUUAAAGGUA
rnacentral:tRNA from 2 species